rnacentral:misc_RNA from 1 species
GAUGAAGAACGUAGCGAAAUGCGAUAAGUAAUGUGAAUUGCAGAAUUCAGUGAAUCAUCGAAUCUUUGAACGCACAUUGCGCCCAUUAGUAUUCUAGUGGGCAUGCCUGUUCGAGCGUCAUUUCAACCCUUAAGCCUAGCUUAGUAUUGGGAAUCGACUUUACUGUCGUUCCUCAAAUUCAACGGCGGAUUUAUAGCAAUCUCUGAACGUAGUAAUUUUUUUUCUCGUUUUUGAAAUACUAUAAACCUCAGCCGCUAAACCCCCAAUUUCUUAUGGUUGACCUCGGAUCAGGUAGGAAUACCCGCUGAACUAAGCAUAUCAAUAAGCGGAGGA